UACGUAGGGGGCAAGCGUUGUCCGGAUUUAUUGGGCGUAAAGAGCUCGUAGGCGGCUCGGUAAGUCAGGUGUGAAACCUCCAGGCUCAACCUGGAGACGCCACCUGAUACUGCCGUGGCUAGAGUCCGGUAGAGGAGCGUAGAAUUCCUGGUGUAGCGGUGAAAUGCGCAGAUAUCAGGAGGAAUACCAGCGGCGAAGGCGGCGCUCUGGGCCGGUACUGACGCUGAGGAGCGAAAGCGUGGGGAGCAAACAGG
rnacentral:rRNA from 1 species